rnacentral:rRNA from 1 species
AUUGAACGCUGGCGGCAGGCCUAACACAUGCAAGUCGAGCGGAUGAAGGGAGCUUGCUCCUGGAUUCAGCGGCGGACGGGUGAGUAAUGCCUAGGAAUCUGCCUGGUAGUGGGGGAUAACGUCCGGAAACGGGCGCUAAUACUGCAUACGUCCUGAGGGAGAAAGUGGGGGAUCUUCGGACCUCACGCUAUCAGAUGAGCCUAGGUCGGAUUAGCUAGUUGGUGGGGUAAAGGCCUACCAAGGCGACGAUCCGUAACUGGUCUGAGAGGAUGAUCAGUCACACUGGAACUGAGACACGGUCCAGACUCCUACGGGAGGCAGCAGUGGGGAAUAUUGGACAAUGGGCGAAAGCCUGAUCCAGCCAUGCCGCGUGUGUGAAGAAGGUCUUCGGAUUGUAAAGCACUUUAAGUUGGGAGGAAGGGCAGUAAGUUAAUACCUUGCUGUUUUGACGUUACUAACAGAAUAAGCACCGGCUAACUUCGUG